AUUGAACGCUGGCGGCAGGCCUAACACAUGCAAGUCGAACGAGUGGCGGACGGGUGAGUAAUGUCUGGGAAACUGCCUGAUGGAGGGGGAUAACUACUGGAAACGGUAGCUAAUACCGCAUACCAUCGGAUGUGCCCAGAUGGGAUUAGCUUGUUGGGGGGGUAACGGCUCACCAAGGGGACGAUCCCUAGCUGGUCUGAGAGGAUGACCACCCACACUGGACCUGUGACACGGUCCAGACUCCUACGGGAGGCAGCAGUGGGGAAUAUUGCACAAUGGGCGCAAGCCGGAUGCAGCCAUGCCGCGUGUAUGAAGAAGGCCUUCGGGUUGUAAAGUACUUUCAGCUGGGAGGCGUUACCCGCAGAAUAAGCACCGGCUAACUUCGUGCCAGCAGCCGCGGUAAUUC
rnacentral:rRNA from 1 species